AAUAACAUAGUAAGCCAAUUUAUGAUAUUAUUGAACUGUAUUAUUGUGGUAAAUUGAAGUACUAUAGUUAUGUCAUUGGUAAUAAGCUAAGGUGUGUGUGAUGGAUGGAUCGAGGUGGUAAAUUCAAGUACUAUAGUUAUGUCAUUGGUAAUAAGCUAAGGUGUGUGUGAUGAUGGAUCUAGUUAUAUCAUAUAUUGUUAAUUGUUUUAUGUAUGGUUCAUCUUAGAUCCUCCAAGUGAAAACCUCGAUCCCAAUAAUAUGAGAUCUUGCUCUGAGGUAUCCUAGGAUCUAGCUCCUUAAUUUAUAAAAUGUACGAACAUAGAUCAAAACCCAAGGAGCUACCCUAUGCAGUUCAACAUUCCCCAAAUGGAUCCUACUCCUAGACCCGCCCGGCCUCCGACAACUAUGAUCCACAUAUGUAGUUGUAGCACUGUUACAUAUUGCCUUUUCAUGAACAAACAAAGUGCUAACGUAAAUAUCCAACAAACAACCUUCAUUUAUUUACAUUUUCUUUGUGUAUAAUCAUCUUCCCAAGAUAUCCCUUGCAUCAUUUCACUCCUCAGCUCCUCAUUUUAAAUGACUUUCAAUGAGAUGUUUCUUGCAUUCCUUCUAAAGGUUCUUUAGGCUUUAGCAAUUAAACAUCAUAGUGUUGCUUAUUUUGUGGAUUUUGUACAUUUUUUG
rnacentral:lncRNA from 1 species